GACGAACGCUGGCGGCGUGCUUAACACAUGCAAGUCGAACGGAAAGGCCCUGCUUUUGUGGGGUGCUCGAGUGGCGAACGGGUGAGUAACACGUGAGUAACCUGCCCUUGACUUUGGGAUAACUUCAGGAAACUGGGGCUAAUACCGGAUAGGAGCUCCUGCUGCAUGGUGGGGGUUGGAAAGUUUCGGCGGUUGGGGAUGGACUCGCGGCUUAUCAGCUUGUUGGUGGGGUAGUGGCUUACCAAGGCUUUGACGGGUAGCCGGCCUGAGAGGGUGACCGGCCACAUUGGGACUGAGAUACGGCCCAGACUCCUACGGGAGGCAGCAGUGGGGAAUAUUGCACAAUGGGCGGAAGCCUGAUGCAGCAACGCCGCGUGCGGGAUGACGGCCUUCGGGUUGUAAACCGCUUUCGCCUGUGACGAUGCGUGAGUGACGGUAAUGGGUAAAGAAGCACCGGCUAACUACGUG
rnacentral:rRNA from 1 species